GUGAAUCAUCGAAUCUUUGAACGCACAUUGCGCCGCCCGUCACUGGGUGGCAUGCCUGUCUGAGCGUCGCCAUAAAACCUCACCGGCCCCUCGGUUUCGGGGCGUGUCGGUGGUCAUGGGCGUCUCGCCCCCUGGCCCGCAAGGGCGUCGGGGGGGCGUGGCCUGAAAGUCAUUGGUCGCUGGCCCCUUCAAGGGUUCCUCGGUGUGCGAGUCUCAUUGACGUCUCGCCGGGGACGGAUGGAGGGGGAGCGGAGACCCUAAACUGUUGAACCCUCGACCUCAGAUCAGGUAGGACUACGGGCUGAACUUAAGCAUAUCAAUAAGCGGAGGA
rnacentral:misc_RNA from 1 species